CCACUACCUUGCAGCCAUAGAUUGAUUCCAUCAUGCGCUGGCAGGCUAGAUGUUCAAGGAGGUAGCGGAGGUGCAGCCGUGUGUCCAUCCUCUCCCAUGGAAGAUAUUCAAGGAUUUAACAUUAUGGAAAUGUUCAGCAGAUGAUCUUUUGUAAGUGAAAAGAAUACAUUUUUAUAAGAGCAAUCAAUGUGGGACCAAUACAAGGAUUUAGAGGACAAAACUAAUUAUAAGGACAGAUUAUAACAGGUUUUAUAUCGGAAAUAAUCUUGAAACGUGCAAGGGAAAUCUUUACAUUUUUCUAGAAGCCAUAUCCAUAAAAGCUGCGAAAGCCGUCAAGCUGAUGUACCAAACUAGCUAUAAAAUUUUUAGAUAGAUUUCGA